GAUGAAGAACGUAGCGAAAUGCGAUAAGUAAUGUGAAUUGCAGAAUUCAGUGAAUCAUCGAAUCUUUGAACGCACAUUGGGCCCGCUGGUAUUCCGGCGGGCAUGCCUGUUCGAGCGUCAUUUCAACCCUCAAGCUCUCCGGAGUUUGGUGUUGGGGCGCCUGGGGCUUUUCGACCUCAGGGCCCUCAAGUCCAUCGGCGGGACCGCCAGGACACUGAGCGCAGUAGUAUUAUUUCGCUCGGUAGGAUCUUCCACGGCGGGUCGAUCUGGCCGCUAAACCCCCCAAUUCUCACCAAAGGUUGACCUCGGAUCAGGUAGGAAUACCCGCUGAACUUAAGCAUAUCAAUAAGCGGAGGA
rnacentral:misc_RNA from 1 species